rnacentral:lncRNA from 1 species
UUGAAACUUACUUUCAAUUCUCCCUUUAGUGUUUAUACACGUUUAGGGCUUCCACAAACCACGAGUGACACCUAGCAGCAUAUCAUGGUUACCCAAGCUAAUCAGAAGAGGUGGAGAACCUAUUCAGUUUAGGAUUACAAUGAAAUACGGUCUUUCUCUAAUACAAUACUCUUGACCACAUUGUUUGGUUUGAUAGUUUAUUCAUGUCUACUAUCCAAUGUGAUUCAUUUACUUAUAUGAUUAUCUUGAAUGUGAUUUGGAACGACUUCCUAAAUCUCAUUCAUACUCUGGCCAGAGAUUCUUAAUCAUAUCAUAGAGUAUUCUCCCUUAAACAGUUUGAAGGUUAGAGAUCCCUUGUUGCACAUUCACUUGCCUCCAUGGCUAAGUGGCUUAACCCCAACUAUGCCGUGGACACCCGCGAAUGGAGUGACUUUGACAUAAUCAAAGAUCAAGGACCUAACCACAAGACAACUAUGAUGCCUCAGGUCAAAGGACUACUUUGCAUUAUCCCAACCAUGAGAUCUCAUGUGACAUGAGUAUGAGAACUCUUCGUUGAUCGUGUUCAGUGAACUCAUUCCUUAUUGAGCACCUACGUACUUGUCUUGGUGUCAGUCACACCAAUGACUUGAGACCAGUCACUCUCACUAAGAGAAGACAUAGCACAUGCUGAUCUUAACGGAUUGUCUAUUCCCCAUUUUCUGUUUUCUCUCUCUGCCUUUCGCCGUUUGUGAAGCAGAAACCACAUACAAAGCUCAAAAGCAGCAAAGGGUUAAAAACUGGCGUAUUGUAUCCGACGGGAAGAUCCC